UACGUAGGAGGCAAGCGUUGUCCGGAAUUACUGGGCGUAAAGCGCGUGUAGGUGGUGGGGCAAGUCUGCUGUGAAAGCGCCUGGCUUAACCGGGCGAGGUCGGCGGAAACUGUUCGACUCGAGGACGGUAGAGGGGGGUGGAAUUCCCGGUGUAGUGGUGAAAUGCGUAGAGAUCGGGAGGAACAUCUGUGGCGAAGGCGACUGCCUGGACCAGCACUGACACUGAGGCACGAAAGCGUGGGGAGCAAACAGG
rnacentral:rRNA from 1 species